rnacentral:rRNA from 1 species
AUUGAACGCUGGCGGCAGGCCUAACACAUGCAAGUCGAGCGGUAGAGAGAAGCUUGCUUCUCUUGAGAGCGGCGGACGGGUGAGUAAUGCCUAGGAAUCUGCCUGAUAGUGGGGGAUAACGUCCGGAAACGGACGCUAAUACCGCAUACGUCCUACGGGAGAAAGUGGGGGCUCUUCGGACCUCACGCUAUCAGAUGAGCCUAGGUCGGAUUAGCUAGUUGGUGGGGUAAAGGCUCACCAAGGCGACGAUCCGUAACUGGUCUGAGAGGAUGAUCAGUCACACUGGAACUGAGACACGGUCCAGACUCCUACGGGAGGCAGCAGUGGGGAAUAUUGGACAAUGGACGAAAGCCUGAUCCAGCCAUGCCGCGUGUGUGAAGAAGGUCUUCGGAUUGUAAAGCACUUUAAGUUGGGAGGAAGGGUCGUUACCUAAUACGUGGCGAUUUUGACGUUACCGACAGAAUAAGCACCGGCUAACUCUGUGCCAGCCGCCGCGGUAAAAC